rnacentral:lncRNA from 10 species
UAUAAUCAUUCAUGCCUACAUAACACAGCUUUCAUAAGAACCCAAUAGGACAGGGUUCAAGGACCCUCUAAAGAAUGCCACACCUAUAGAGGCAUGGAAACUCUUUGCCACUUUCAUCUGACUAUUGAUCUAUAUCCUUUGUAAUGCCUCUUAUAAGAAAUGGGCAGAUUCUAGCAGUGUUUGUGAGAAAAACUGAUGGAUCCUGCAGAUUAACUAUGGACAGCCAAAUAUUGAGUAAAGUGAUGUCUACAACAGCAUCAGCUAUGCCUGAUAUGGUGUUAAUUCACAUUGUGAAGUUCCAAAAUCAGAAGAUGAUACAGAAAGAUUGCUCUGGUUGCCUGGUUUCUGAAGAAAUCGUGUACCCUGUCUGGAUAGUGUCUUACUUCCUAUCCACAAAGUUGUGAAAUAAUCUGGAAUUAAAUGGCAACCUAAACAACCCUAGAGUUGCCUGAACACAGAGCCAUUGCUGUGUUGAUCAUUAUAGCAGUCCUCAAUAGGAAAAAGAUGCCUCCCUGGUCGACCUUCCUGGAAAGUAUGCAUAUCAUUACUGCUUAGAUUUUGUUGGAGAGAAAUCACACUACCAUCAAAGACAACGGGUCAAAAAGAAUGCCGUCCUAAGCUGAGAAGCCAUCUUCCUAACGACAGCCAUGUAAUAUGAAAGGGAAAAACACACUGUUAUUGAAGAACUUAUCAGCUAUGUCACAUCUUCCACACAAAUACUCAGGAUUGCUAAAGUCCUAUUGCAUGCUUUAAGAUGCCUUGCGUUUGGUGAAUUGAAGCCUGAUAUGUCAACAUACUCUCUGUAAACACAGCAGCACAGAGGGCAAAGAAACACUUAUCCAGCACCACAGCUAGGACAAAAGGAAUUAUUUUGACAGUAAAUGGACUUGCAGCUUAAGGUUGGUAUGUACCCAAUUGUGACUAAACCAAAAGAAACAAAUCUGGAAACUGAAGUAUCAAUACGUGAAAAGCGUUCUUUUGGUAUUGGGAGUGCCAGUUGUCUUUGUUUCAUGAACUACUUCUCCGUAAUAGCAUGCAGCCAUCUUCAAGAGGUGAGAAUUUCACUUAGCGACUUAAACAGAAGUGUUAUCUCAAGAUAAUAUAAUAUCUGGAGGUAAAACAGCAUCCCCAGGAUAAACAGGAAUACUACACUCUUCCUUAAAUAACAAAAACUGCGGCUGGGCGUGGUGGCUCACACUUGUAAUCCCAGCACUUUGGGAGGCCGAGGUGGGCGGAUCACGAGGUCAGGAGAUGGAGACCAUCUUGGCUAACACGGUGAAACCCCGUCUCUACUAAAAAUACAAAAAAUUACACAGGCGCGGUGGCGGGCGCCUAUAGUCCCAGCUACCCGGGAGGCUGAGGCGGGAGAAUGGCGCGAACCUGGGAGGCGGAGCUUGCAGUGAGCCAAGAUCGCGCCACUGCACUCCAGCCUGGGCGACAGAGCAAAACUUCGUCUC